CCUACGGGAGGCAGCAGUGGGGAAUUUUGGACAAUGGGGGCAACCCUGAUCCAGCCAUUCCGCGUGAGUGAAGAAGGCCUUCGGGUUGUAAAGCUCUUUCGCAAGGGAAGAAAACUUAUGAUCGAAUAAAUCAUGAGGUUGACGGUACCUUGAUAAGAAGCACCGGCUAACUACGUGCCAGCAGCCGCGGUAAUACGUAGGGUGCGAGCGUUAAUCGGAAUUACUGGGCGUAAAGCGUGCGCAGGCGGUUUUGUAAGUCGGAUGUGAAAUCCCCGGGCUCAACCUGGGAACUGCGUUCGAAACUGCAAGGCUAGAGUGUGUCAGAGGGGGGUAGAAUUCCACGUGUAGCAGUGAAAUGCGUAGAGAUGUGGAGGAAUACCAAUGGCGAAGGCGGCCCCCUGGGAUAACACUGACGCUCAUGCACGAAAGCGUGGGGAGCAAACAGGAUUAGAUACCCUGGUAGUCCACGCCCUAAACGAUGUCAACUAGUUGUUGGUAGAGUAAAAUCUAUGAGUAACGUAGCUAACGCGUGAAGUUGACCGCCUGGGGAGUACGGUCGCAAGAUUAAAACUCAAAUGAAUUGACGG
rnacentral:rRNA from 1 species